UGUAUCUGAAGCCUGACGAGGAUGAGAACCUCCGGGGGCAAGAGGUUCGACCCGAGCGAAGCGAGAGAACGUUGCGUCAGCAACGGCCCGCAGGGCGAGCCACGCAGUGGCGAGUCAUCCGCUAUCACCGACCA
rnacentral:sRNA from 1 species